rnacentral:lncRNA from 1 species
GACGGAAAAAAAAACACAAAUUAAUGGCGGCUGAAUAUUCCGGUAGCCGAAGUUCCAACACACAGCUUCUCGCUGAACUCGAAGCCCUAAGUGAAAAUCUUUACCAGAAACCUCAGGCUCCAGUUGGUCGCAGAACAAACUCUCUCGCUCUCCCUCGCAGCUCCGUUCCGUCCCUCGUGACCUCUGCCGAGGAUGUGACGGUGCCGAAACCACGGUCUCGGCGUUUGUCUCUGUCUCCAUGGCGGUCUCGACCCAAGCUUGAGGCAGAGGAGGAAGAGAAUAUGGCUCAGAAGAUAAGCAUCAAGACACCAGAAGAGUCAUGAAAAUCUUUACCAGAAACCUCAGGCUCCAGUUGGUCGCAGAACUAACUCUCUCGCUCUCCCUCGCAGCUCCGUUCCGUCCCUCGUGACCUCUGCCGAGGAUGUGACGGUACCGAAACCACGGUCUCGGCGUUUGUCUCUGUCUCCAUGGCGGUCGAGACCCAAGCUUGAGGCAGAGGAGGAAGAGAAUAUGACUCAGAAGAUAAGCAUCAAGACACCAGAAGAGUCUUCAUUGGUGGGAUCCAAAGCCAAGGAAGAGAGAAAAGGGAUAUGGAACUGGAAACCCAUUCGCGGGCUGGCCCGAAUCGGAA